UUUGGGUUUGCUCAGUUUUUUUUUUUGUUUGUUUGUUUUUUUUUUUUUUGGUCUUUUGUCCUUCUAGGGCUGCACCCGCAGCAUGUAGAGGUUCUCAGGAUACAUAUAGUGAUUUUGCGCUACACUGGGUCUCACUGACCCCAGGUGCUGGGAAUAGUGGAGUGUCUAUUAGUUUCAACUUGCAAUAUCUUAUUAUUGAUGGUUGCUAAGCCUCUCCCUGCCCCCACUGGGCCCCAAGCCUGUGUGUGGGAAGCCCAGUGGUAACUAGCCCAUCAGACACUACCUUUUUAAGUCUGCUUGCUAAUGGAAAGGGGCUGGGGCCCCACUCGCCAGUGGACCACACUGAAACAACCCCAGUGGGGAAUCUGAGCACUGUCUCUUCCAGAGGGCAGGACUGGGGUGGUGUGGAAGAUCAGAUCCUCCCUCAGCCCAAUUGAAAUCUCAGGACAUCGGAGAUGGAUGCGAUAUUUCCGUUGGCAUUUGGCUCAACUAGUGUGUGUGUUGCCAAAACAGUUUUCUGUUUUUAGCAACCCCUUUCCACAUACUUUGGCUAGAGAUAAUAGGUUUUUUCGGGGGGCAGGGGGAUUUUUUGUCUGUUCUAUUGGUGGUUAUGGAUCAGAGACUCUUGUGGUGCCCUCUCUAGGAUAUACUGGAAGGAAGCAAUAGGAAACACAGGAGACUCAAUACCAUGUCAUUCCCCACGUCCCACGAUCCCUUGUAAGUCUGCUUUCUCAUUUCCACCUUUCGGUGUCUUCCUCUGCUUCUUUGUUGUUAUGCUCGGGUGUCAGGAGACAUGUUUCUACAAUCUUUUCUUAGCCUCUCUGUUUCUAUUCUCUAUGCUGAAAACUCCAUCUUGUCCUGUUUUACCUUUACCCUAAAUUCCUGCUUGAAAAACAGUCACCAUGCUGGUAAAUAACAAGCGAAAGAACAAAGACCAAAAGGCAUAAGUUAUUCAUGUGGUCAGCUGAAUGAGGACAUUAUGCAUUGGUCUAGGCAUGCCAGACCUGUGCAGAUAGGCACAGCAUGAAUGUCCUGUUAAAAUAAGAGAAAGAGGAGCCUCAAGGCCUCACAGAUUUAUGAGGGGUCGUUAGAGGGAUAUGCAUCAGCAAGGAGAACGAGGUGCAAACCUAGGCAUGGGUUGCUGCAAAUAGGAAGCACAGUGGUGAUUCUCUAGAUGCUAUGCUGACUCCAGGCUUCCCCAAAGUUAAUGAUUGUUAAAUGCCUAAAAGUCAGAGUAAAAGCUUAACCAGCUACCAGAUAUGAGACUUUUAAAAUAAUAAAAAACUAUAUCCUGCACCUACAGCCCCCUCCUCACUUGAUGUCAUCCUAAAGAACACAAUAAAAGCAGUGUGGUUUCUUGAGGUGUUGCUCUUGGUCCCUGAGACCUUGAGUCCCCCGGUUCCCACCUUUGAUUAAGAUAAAUGUCUCUAAGUCUUGUUUUAUGUCAACUUUUUCUUAAGUUUCACAGCACCCGUUCUUCAGCCCUCACCUGCUGAACCGGUCUCAGCACUCGGGGUUUUAGCUUUACGUAGGAGAACCUGGGAGAAAAGUGCUAAUUCAUCUUCUUAGAAGCAGAAGUUUGGAGCUCUACUGGUGUUAGAAAAUUCUGCUGACUAUAAAUUAAAAUUUGAUGCUGUACACCUUGCCCUUUUAAGAAUUAUUUGCUAGAUAAUAUGGCUUCCCAAAGUCACUAUAAUUUGAUUUUCACACUUAUAAAAGGCAAGUGUUUUGCUGGAGUUGAAAUUUAAAGAUGGGAGAUGAGGCUAAAAUGAUCUCUGUGGUACUAAAGUUGGAGACACCAAUAUACACUCAUGUUUAGCUUAAUAAUGCUUAAUAUACACAUCAUUUGACAUAUAUAUUUAUAUAUAUGUAAUAUACACACAUUUAAAUCUUUGUUCUGUCAGGUGAUAAGACUU
rnacentral:lncRNA from 1 species